AAAAUAUAAACACGUAUCGAAUUGCAAUAAAUAGUGCUGCGGUGUAAAUUUAAUAAGCAAAUCGGAAAGGGAAAACAUAAACACCAUCAAAGUGAGUCACGAUAGCGAUAACGCUGUCCCUAAACUGUGUCUGUGGUUAUUUUUGUGAAAGUAUUUAUAAUUUAUUAUUAGAACGUUAUUCAAUCUACAAUUAGUUAUUUAACUUAGAAAUCCAUUAGGUAUUAUGGGGAAAUAAUUGAAAGGGUGUAUAAAAGAAGGUAACAUUUUUUUUCCUUACCUCUACCCUAGUAAGUUCUUGACGGGGGUUUAAGGGUUUAUAAUUCAUUGGAACUUCGCUGUUAUCAAAUUUGGUUUCAGUGGAAUUAAAAACGAAAAACAAAACGCAUACUUGCUUGGAGAGAUCAUGAGACAGUACGUUCCGGACAAUUAUUACCGCCGUCGGAAACAUAACCUUUUUGUUGUGCGUUCGGCUCGCACUGUCCAUCGUCAACAAGCUCCCAUUCUCCGGUUACUCUCGCUUAAUGGGUUUCUCGACUCUUCACCGGAGAGUGACCUAUUUGUGAAGCGUUUGGGGGUAAUAUGCUUGGAAAAGAUUAGACGAUUUACUAUCAAUUUUGUAAAUAUCUUAAUUGUAUUCUAUUUUAGUUAGAAUUUGGCCAUGCAUGAGCUAUAAAUAAAUAAUAUUAUAAUUUAA